AAUAAUAUCCGUCGGUGGGUUAUCCAGGGCAAUUUUAAUAUUAUAUCCCGGGCCAACCCCGGUAUAAUAUAAAAAAACAUUAAUAUAACCCAUCCGUUAAUAUUUAUUUCGCAUUUGGCCAAUUUUCGAAUUAUCGGUUGGGCGCGUUUUACCGCCGUACCCAAUUGGCGCGUUUGGGGCAAAAAUAUCCUUUCGAUCCUUAACCGAAUCGCGCAUUUGUCGUUUAUUACCGCGUAAUAUUCGCAACCCAAAUUUAUUUAUAUAUUAACAAAUUGUAAAUUAUUUAAUAAAAUAGGGAUAAAAAAAGGCGCCCCGUUUAUAAAAUGUCGGAUUAAACCAAUUUUACCAUAUUUAUUUCCUAACCCCCUAUUUGCCUUUAUUUCGAUUGCGCUUUACGGCCUCCGCCCUUAAUUAAAUUUCGUAUCGAAAAUUAUUUAUUUCCUUUUCCAAAGAUUUCCGUCGUAAUUGCGGCCAUUACCGUGGAAAAACGCAACGCCGUUGCGUAAAUGCAAUUUGCUAUUUAAUAACCGGAAUUACCGCAACGCAAAUACGCCCCUAUUUCGCGUUUCCGCUAAUAUUCGUCGUUGGGGAUUUAUUGGGCGCGUGGACGCGUAUUUUUUUUAUUAAUAUCCGAAAAUUGGGUUUGUUCGGGUUUACGGUGUUUUUUCGCCCUUUUAUUGGAUUUGGAACCCAUUGCGGCCACGCCCGUUAUAAAUAUAUUUUCGUUUUUCGGCGGCCUGGGGGCCGUAACGGCGCCCGCGCGGUAAAAACCAAAACAUUUAUCCAAUUCGAUCGUUUUAAAAUUUUGGACAAUUUAACGGUAAAUGGCCACCGUUUUUAAAUAAAUGCCGUUUCCCAUACCUCGUCCGACGCACGUUUUCCAAAUCCUAAAAAAUACGCGGAAACGCAAAAAAUUAAUACGGACCUCGUCCGUCCAAAUUAAUUUUCCGGCCGUAACCAGGGUUUUUUCGAAAAUUACAAUAAAUUGGGCGAACGAUUGGCCCGGUUUUAUUUUUAACGUUUCAAAUUUGGCCAGGAUUUGCGUUCGUUUAUAGAAAUUGUCGUAAAUACGUUCCAAAUAAUCCAAAAAAUUUAUAUAACGAUACGCGCCGUUUUUACCGUUUAUUUCGUAAUAAAAACGGACCAUUUUUUAAACGAACGUUUCGAACCCUGCCCACAAAUAUUUAUAUUGGUCGCGGUAAUCGUUUAUAAAAUCCGCGUCGCGGCGGAAUUUAUAUUUUAUAACGUAUCGCCAGGUUAUAAACGAAAUCGGAACGCCGUCGUACAAUGGCGGGUUUCGAAAUGGUUUGCGUUUCGGCAAUACCGUAAUUUAUAAUAUUUCCGCGAUAAUUGAUACCGUCGGGGCCCCUAUUUGCAAAAUUUGUAUUUUUUUUUAUAAAUCCGCAAUUAUCCGCUAUAAUUCCUGAAACGCGGCGUCCGGCAUUUGGACGGCGGUUUCCUCCCUGGGUAACGAAUUUAUUAUCCGUAAAAAAGGAAAAAAAAAAAUAAUAAACGAUAAUAAAUAUUAUAGGGUAGGCCAACGAUUAUAUAACGGUUGGGUACCCGAAAAAAAUUAUUAUUAUCGCUAAGGAAAAGGAAAAAAAAGGGGUGCGGAAAAGGUUUUGGCGACCCUUCCUCCCUUAUAUAUAAUGCAAUUUAUUACGUGGUCCCCGCUGCUAUUUAUAUACGGGGAUACGUGCAAUUAGCACGAAUCCGUAAUAUAAACCUUUUAAAAUCCUAUAUAACGUGGAAAAACAAACGUAUCGUUUGGUUUUACCAAUACAAUUUAAAAAACUACAUAAUAUUUUCCCAAUACAAUUUUUUAAACUAUAAAAGCCCAAAAACCCAAACGACCACGAAACCAUACCUUACCCAAAUUUUAAAAACGAAAAAAACUGGAACGUGGAAAAAAUUAAGGAUAUAAACACCAAAAAUGGGGUUAUUUACUAUUUGGUCAAAUGGUUUAAUUGGCCAGCAAAAUAUAAUUAAUAAAUACCUAAAGAAAAUUUGUUUGCAAAAAGCAAAAUAAAACAAUUUUUACGGAAAUAAUCCAAAAAAACCAAACCAAAGGAAAAACCACUAUUACAAAAUAAAAACGCAGGGGUAAAACGCACGAAACGCAAAAGGAACCAAAACCCCUCCGAAUUUAAUUAAUAUUAAUAGCGUUAAAUACAAAAAAAAACCCAUACCAAACCCCAACCUAACCCUAACGUUUAUUGGGCGAUUCCAAAAAAGCACCAAAACGCUUUUUGGGAAAUAUACCAGUCGAAAACUAAUUUCGUCCAACACCACCAAAUAAAAACAAACGCGAAAAACGGAAAAUUGCCUGGUUAACAAAAAAACGGCCUCCACGCUGCGAAAUAAGGCGAGGAAAAAUAACGGGGUUUUUAUUAAAACAAAUAAAUUGCAAUUUUUCGUUAUUACGCAAAAUCGUUUGGUUAAUAACGGUCCUGGCGUAGGACGGCCGGGCAGGCGUUUCCACGGGAACAGCCCUGCGUUCUUCAAACCUUUGGUAUACGUGUCCCGAAUUAAAUACAGUAAUUUUACCAAACCGAAAAACAAAAAAAACACCAAUAUUAAAAAAGCCAGGUGGAAAAAGACCACCAGGGCCUCGAAACCGAUUAGAAAUAGGAGGACGAAUUUAAUCCCGCAUUUGGGAAAACGCAAAAAAAACCCGAAAUUCCUGGGGAAAAACAGGUGGAAAAUCCGGAACGUCACCAUUAUUAAAACCAAAACCAUUAUUGGAAUUAACAGGUGCAAAAUCGACAGGGGAACGAUAAAUUUCCACCCACGCCACCUUUUAUUAUUCCCAAUAUAAUUAUACCUUUUCGAAUUUUAUAUUUAUUAUUUGGAAAACGCGGUAAUGGAAAAACAAAAACGUAAAUCGAAAAACCGCCAACGCAUAAAACGCAAUACGUUAUUAAACCGUUUGGAAAACGCAGGGGGUUAAUCGAAAAACUCCUAAAACAAAAACGCUGGGGUUUACCAAAUUAAAAAACGUAACCUCCAUAAUUCCAAAAUAAUAAUCCCUGGUAACUUUUAUUUCGUUUAAAACACGAAAAUAUUUGGUUUUGUUUUUAAACGGGCCAAUUUGGCCCAAACGUUUGCGUUCCUUAAUUUCCAAAUGUUCGGCAAAUAAUAUAAAAUCGACCAAAACCCCAAAUAGCUUUUUAAUUUCGGUAGGCAAAUUUUUACCAACGUUAAAUUGGGCAACGAAUUCCACAAUAUCGAACAAAUAAAAAAAAUCCACGAAAUUGCCUUUUAUAAUCGCAAUCGCCUAAUAUAAAUUAAUUAAAAAAAUCGCAAAACGGUUACAAAGAAACGCAAAAAUUAAACAACCUAUUAACUCGCAAAUACGUAAAUUUUUUUUACAAUAAAAACAAAAUUUGCUUAUUUUACCCGUUUUAAAAAACGUUCCCUAAAUGUAUUUAAAAUCGGGGAAAUUUUCGGUAUUUUUGGCGAUUUUAACGGCGCGACGGAAACAUUUUAUACAAAUAAUGCGGUUAUAGGUUAUACUAGUACCAAUUUUAAUAAAAACGGGCGCAGGGGGAACGUUAACGUUUCCUCGGGCAAAACCUAUUACAAAACCAAUUUUAAAAAAUAUAAUAAAAAUAACAAAGAUCGAUUUAAUGCAAAAAAAACGCGACCAAAACGCAAAAAUAACGCGUGCAAAAAAUUAACGAAACCUCGUAUCGGAAAAUAAAAAAAAAAAAUAAAAAAUUUAACUGAAAAUUUUUUUCGUUAAAAAUUAAAAAGGUAAUUAACGUUUAAACCAGGUGGGGUUUACGAAUCGUUAACGUUAUAACCCAUUGUUUAUAACCUAAUACCGCCGCCUACCAAUAAAAACCCACGCGAAACAAUUGCGUUUUAUUUGCGUUUGCUAAAAAUUACCCCGCCUUAUAUUUAAAAUUGCUAUUUAAAACGAGGACGCCUUUAUUAGGGGGGGGAUAAUUGUUACGUGCAAAUUUAUUAAUACCUAAAUGCUAACGUACAACCCUAGGGGCUGGGUUCUGCUAAACCUGUAAAUUCGCGUUACGUAAAUAUAAUAGGAACGCCGUUUAUAAAUAGGGGCUUUUAAAUCCUAAGGAUAGCAAGUUAAUCCUAAAUCCUUAAAAAUCAAUUUUUAAUCCAAAUGCUAUUGUUUUAAUACUAUCGUGGAUUAUUAUACGCCGUAUUAUUGCCCUGUAUUUUGUUAAUUACCGUGUGCCUAGCCUGUACCCAAUCCCCGGUUAUAAUAUAAAGGUACAAUUAUUAAAAACAAAUGAACGUCAACAUUAUAACUGGAGGUUUUCGAUAAUUGGGGUAAAAUUAUAAUCGGUUUUAAAUAUAGUAAAUAUCGAGGUUAAAUAAAUUUUAAAUGCUAUUAAACAAUCCUAAAAAUAAAUUUAUUUAUACGGUAAUAAAUUUGCUUAUCUAGCCUGUGGCCCAAAUGUAAUUUCUUUUAAUCUCUAUAAAUUAUUUGACGUAAUUUGCUUUUGGCGUUAAUUCUAAUUUCAAAAAAUUAUUCGAUAUUAUACCUUGGUAAUUACGUAUGGUUACCCGAUUCCAUCCUUAUAAAAU
rnacentral:sRNA from 1 species